rnacentral:rRNA from 1 species
UACGUAGGGGGCGAGCGUUGUCCGGAUUUACUGGGCGUAAAGCGCGUGUAGGCGGCCCCAUAAGUCGGGUGUGAAAGCCCGGGGCUCAACCCCGGGAUGCCGCUCGAGACUGUGGGGCUUGAGGACGGAAGAGGGGCGUGGAAUUCCUGGUGUAGCGGUGAAAUGCGUAGAGAUCAGGAGGAACACCCGUGGCGAAGGCGGCGCCCUGGUCCGUUACUGACGCUGAGACGGCGAAAGCCGCGGGGAGCGAACGGG